UCCUACGGGAGGCAGCAGUGGGGAAUUUUGGACAAUGGGGGCAACCCUGAUCCAGCAAUGCCGCGGGGGAAGAAGGCCUUCGGGUGUAAAGCUUUUUCUUUGGGAAGAAAGGGGUGUUAAUACCUGGGGUAAUGACGGUACCGAAGAAUAAGCAUUGGUAAUUUGG
rnacentral:rRNA from 1 species